UACAGAGGGUGCAAGCGUUAAUCGGAAUUACUGGGCGUAAAGCGCGCGUAGGUGGAUGGAUAAGUUGGAUGUAAAAUCCCCGGGCUUAACCUGGGAAGGUCAUCCAAUACUAUUUGUCUAGAGUACAGUAGAGGGAAGUGGAAUUUCCGGUGUAGCGGUGAAAUGCGUAGAUAUCGGAAGGAACACCAGUGGCGAAGGCGGCUUCCUGGACUGAUACUGACACUGAGGCGCGAGAGCGUGGGGGAGCGAACAGG
rnacentral:rRNA from 1 species